UACGUAGGGGGCAAGCGUUGUCCGGAUUUAUUGGGCGUAAAGAGCGUGUAGGCGGCCUUACAGGUCAGCUGUGAAAACUCGAGGCUCAACCUCGAGAGGUCGGUUGAAACCGUAAGGCUAGAGUCCUAGAGAGGGUCGUGGAAUUCCAGGUGUAGCGGUGAAAUGCGUAGAUAUCUGGAGGAACACCGGUGGCGAAGGCGGCAUCCUGGACCGAGAUUGACGCUGAGGCGCGAAAGCGUGGGGAGCAAACAGG
rnacentral:rRNA from 1 species